GGAUUCGUUUCCCGCACCGGUUUGGAAGGGUUGUCAACGAUUUAGGUAAAUUCUUUCUGAACGUGCGCUCGAAGUGGAAGGUUGAAUUUGUCGUAAAUCAAAGAAAAGUUGUCCUUACAGCGAUGAACAAAUUAAUAUAUGUUUGUGUAGUUUACAUAAGUAUUAAUCCGGAUUGACCAGUACGUUCUGAGUGUGUAUAAAUUUACUGAAAUCAUGCGUUGAAAUUCCGAUAUUGGCGGCAAUCGUCGUCUUGGUCGUGGCUGAGUCGCGUGGUAUGCCACCGCACAUGUAGCUAUCAUGGAUGAAUGGAAACCGUUGGCCCUCAUUCCACAAUGUCCCGACUCGACAUAACUUGAACCGUCCUCCUACAAAAGGUUGCUUUCCCUCAUGGCUUGGGUAAAAAAGGUAGAAGAUGGUUGGAUGGAAAAAGGGGUUCUUCCUAAUCGUCCCUAACGAGUUUCCCGUUGAUCUACUGCUGCUUCGAUUGUGCACCUGCUGAUCGAAUCUUCCAACAAACCAGUGUUGACAUCCCAAUUGAUAGGAAUAGCCUUCAACGUUGGUGUUUGGAAAACUCUCCUGUCAUCCUCGGUUUCCGGUUAAACAUGCGAGGGGAUUGGCUUGGUGACACCCGGCAAGGGCGGGGGGACAUUCCCAAAAGGCAAUGAGAGGGGGAAAAGGCGGAACCUUCUUCCUGGACAGUAGGCAGCAACCUCGGGGGUCUGUUUUCCUAUUCCCGGCUUCCUUGACUUGAUUUUACCCGUACGUAGGAAUGCAACAGAUUGGGAUGAUUGGUUGUUGUCAGUCGUGUCCUGCCUGGCUAGCGGAAAGGUGGCUGAGUGACAUCGUUGAUGUCGUACCUUGAACUCAUAUUGGAAUCCUGUUACUUGAAUAAAAAGGCGUCGAUUAAGAAGGAAAA